AGCUCCAAUAGCGUAUAUUAAAGUUGUUGCAGUUAAAAAGCUCGUAGUUGGAUUUCGGAAGGUCUUUAGUGGUCCGCCCCUUCGGGGAGCGGGUCACUGGCCUCCUAUGUUCCUAACGGUCCUCAUCCGCGAGGGUGGGGAAUCAACCGCUAGGAUCGUUUACUUUGAGGAAAUUAGAGUGUUCAAAGCAGGCGUAACUCGCCUCCGAAUACGUUAGCAUGGGAUAAUGGAAUACGACUUCGGUCUUGUUUCGUUGGUUUCGCUUGGCUGAAGUAAUGAUUGAUAGGGACAGUUGGGGGCAUUAGUAUUUAGUUGUCAGAGGUGAAAUUCUAGGAUUUACUAAAGACUGACCAAUGCGAAAGCAUUUGCCAAGGAUGUUUUCAUUAAUCAAGAACGAAAGUAGGGGGAUCGAAGACGAUCAGAUACCGUCGUAGUCUCUACCGUAAACUAUGCCGACCAGGGAUCCGGAGAGUUUGCAUGGAUGACUCCCCGGGCACCUUGUGAGAAAUCAUAAGUGUUUGGGUUUUGGGGGGAGUAUGGUCGCAAGGCUGAAACUUAAAGGAAUUGACGGAAGGGCACCACCAGGAGUGGAACCUGCG
rnacentral:rRNA from 1 species